AACGCGAAGAACCUUACCUGGGCUCGAACGGCUGGUCAACGAUCGUGGAAACACGGUUACUCCGCAAGGGGGUCCAGUCGAGGUGCUGCAUGGCUGUCGUCAGCUCGUGUCGUGAGAUGUUGGGUUAAGUCCCGCAACGAGCGCAACCCUUGUCCUGUGUUGCCAUCAUUCAGUUGGGAACUCGCAGGAGACCGCCAGCGAUAAGCUGGAGGAAGGUGGGGAUGACGUCAAGUCCUCAUGGCCUUUAUGUCCAGGGCUACACACGUGCUACAAUGGCCGGUACAAUGCGCUGCUAAGUCGCAAGACGGAGCCAAUCGCAAAAAACCGGUCUCAGUUCGGAUUGCAGGCUGCAACUCGCCUGCAUGAAGCUGGAAUCGCUAGUAAUGGCAUAUCAGAACGAUGCCGUGAAUACGUUCCCGGGCCUUGUA
rnacentral:rRNA from 1 species